GAUGAACGCUAGCUACAGGCUUAACACAUGCCAGUCGAGGGGAAACGACAUCGAAAGCUUGCUUUUGAUGGGCGUCGACCGGCGCACGGGUGAGUAACGCGUAUCCAACCUGCCCAUCACUUGGGGAUAACCUUGCGAAAGUAAGACUAAUACCCAAUGAUAUCUCUAGAAGACAUCUGAAAGAGAGUAAAGAUUUAUCGGUGAUGGAUGGGGAUGCGUCUGAUUAGCUUGUUGGCGGGGUAACGGCCCACCAAGGCAACGAUCAGUAGGGGUUCUGAGAGGAAGGUCCCCCACAUUGGAACUGCGACACGGACCAAACUCCUACGGGAGGCAGGAGUGAGGAAUAUUGGUCAAUGGGCGAGAGCCUGAACCAGCCAAGUAGCGUGAAGGAAGACGGCCCUAUGGGUUGUAAACUGCUUUUAUAAGGGAAUAAAGUGAGAGUCGUGACUCUUUUUGUAUGUACCUUAUGAAUAAGGACCGGCUAAUUCCGUG
rnacentral:rRNA from 1 species